rnacentral:tRNA from 1 species
AUAGAUUUAAGUUAGUUUAGACUAAGUGUUUUCAAAACACUAAGGGGCUUUAGGCCAAUCUAUG